rnacentral:rRNA from 1 species
AGAGUUUGAUCCUGGCUCAGGACGAACGCUGGCGGUGUGCUUCACACAUGCAAGUCGAACGGAGUAGCAAUACUCAGUGGCGGACGGGUGAGUAACACGUGGGAAUCUACCAUUAGGUGGGGAAUAACAGGCCGAAAGGACUGCUAAUGCCGCAUAUGUAGGCAUCUCGACAGAGAUGUUUAUGAAAGGAGUAAUCCGCCUUUUGAUGAGCCCGCGUCCGAUUAGCUAGUUGGUAGGGUAAAAGCCUACCAAGGCGACGAUCGGUAGGUGGUCUGAGAGGAUGAUCACCCACAAUGGGACUGAGACACGGCCCAUACUCCUACGGGAGGCAGCAGUGGGGAAUUUUACGCAAUGGGGGAAACCCUGACGUAGCGACACCGCGUGAGCGAAGAAGCCCUUUGGGGUGUAAAGCUCUGUCAACAGGAACGAAACAAAUGACGGUACCUGUGGAGGAAGCAUCGGCUAACUACGUGCCAGCAGCCGCGGUAAGACGUAGGAUGCAAGCGUUGUCCGGAUUUAUUGGGCAUAAAGAGUUCGUAGGCGGUUUGUUAAGUCUGAUGUUAAAGACCGGGGCUCAACCUCGGAAAUGCAUUGGAUACUGGCAGACUGGAGUGCAGUAGAGGCUAGUGGAAUUCCCAGUGUAGCGGUGAAAUGCGUAGA